AUGUUGGCUGCCUUGAGCCUAUAGAAAAAUUUGAUGGCCGAUUCUGAAAGAUGGCGGAUUGAAGCAGAAUGAAAUGAUUUUUCAGGUUUUGUUCCAGAUGGGCCAGUGGACUAGGGAUUAAGGUGGUUCCGGGAAUUUAAGCUAAUAACAUUCAAUUGGACCUGGGAUUUGGCCUUGGUUGCUGCUUCCGUUCGGGAAAGGUUAUAAAUUCAGAUUGGACCUGGACCGGAAGCUUGAAUGCGGUAUAUGAACCCAAUUAUUAUUCUAGAACGUUGAAUCAUCAAAUUUUGGUUCCUGAAGAAAAUCAACAAUACCAGCCAACUGUAAGAACGAGAGGAAAAUUUCUCCAAUCAACGAAAAUUUUAAUCGUUCAUAAUUUCGCUCGGGGAUAAACCGGAUCUGGCAAUUCUUUUUCUGCGGCAACUAGCUGGUUUACGGGAGGCAAUUAUAGAGCGGGAAGAGUACUUUUGGCUGAUGAGGCUUUCCUGUCCGUCCGUAUUAGGGUCCGUUCGGGUAAACCAGGUUUUCUGUUAUAAAUAUAUAUGGCUAAGACCACCUGAGAUCUCAAAAUCACGCGUUACUUUGUAAGAGGCCUGAGCUCAACCCUGUUCGCGCACGUUUGACAAAAAAAACGCAAACGGAAUGGAUUCGAUACGAUGAAUGAUAAAAAAUUACUUAAAAAGGACACUCGUCCGGUCCGUCUUGUCGUCCGGGUGCAAACUCACAGAAGGUCGGAAAACCAAAAAUUAUUCCAGAGCACCCCAGGCGUGGUGGUGCUGGAAAACAGCUUCUCCCUCGUUGGAUGGAGUUGGUGUUGAAGUGACUUUGCAGGUUUGUGUUUUGCUUCGGUUUAAUUUAAAAAUUUAGUUUUAAGUCUAGUUUUAAGUUUAGCUUUAAGUUUAAUUAAUUCUUUUUUUUAAAUAAAAUUGAUUUAAUUU